AUCUUUAAGAUAAUACAGUAGUUCAGCAAUUAACAACUAUUCUCUAAGAUAGGAUAAGUUGAUCAUUGAAGAUUAUUGAAAAUUUAAAAAAAGAUAGUAUUAAUUGUAAAUUCUUCAGAAGCAGAGUGUUUGAUUAAUUAAGGAAGCAAAAAGUGAAACUCAGAUAUCUAUGUAACUCAGUAGAAUUUUUCACAUCGAAUAUCAAAUGAUAUUCAUAUCUAUACUUUUUUAAUUUUCUAUCAGUUUGAAAACCAAUAGUAUUAUAAUGAUGUAAGUCAACCCACUGCUAGAGUAAUACCUUUUCAUAAAAUGGAAUUUAAUUGUUACAAAAAUUCAAUUAUGUCUUCUUAGAUCAUAAAUACGCUGCCAAAGAGAAUAAAAAGAUAUAUAGCAAAAUCUUAGUUAGAUUUACAUCAUUAUGAUUCUUGUCAUUUGUCUUUGAUUAUUAGUGAUCUAAUCAAUUGAUUAUUCACUUCCAAUAGACAUAUACCUUGUUCUUUCGGUCGAUCUCGAAGAAGGCAAGUGGCAAAGCAAUUUCCAGUGGAUUUUUCGCGGGGAUGCUGCUGGUGUAAUUUGUCAAGCGUAGCCGAAGGAAAGAGCGGCGGUUUCGAGCGAGGAAAUUUAUGGGUCGCAACGUGUCGACGGAAACCUUAAAUUUUAACGUCCCUGUCGCGUACUUGGCUGGGCCCUGCCCUGCCUGUUAAGGACUUUGCGAAGGGGGAUUACGACUUGACUGCCAUGAAGCGAGCGUAGAACACUGAGGGGUGGUCUCUCCUCGCGGUGGGAGAGAAUCAGAAGUAUGGUGGUGGUUCUAUGGUAGGGGAGGGGGAGGCGUUGCGACGGUGGUACAGGAAAAGGUGUAGCGUAGAGGUGCGCGUCGCUCCUUCUUCCUUCCUGAUGCUUCGCCAAUCUCUCUUUCUGCUUCGGUCUUUCCUGUUUCUGCGUCGCCUGAAAUAAAUGAGUCGGGUCUAACCGCUUGAAUCGAACGAGCAUAAUGAGUACAGAUGAGUGGAGAGACGUAUCGAUGAAUAGAGAUAGAUGAAUCAUGUACGAUGAUGAUGCUAUCACGCUUAAAAUCAAAUCUUUGUUCUUUCUCUGUUUGAUACUGGGAAUAAGAGAAACAUCAUUUGAUAUAUCGACAUCUUUGUUGUUUAGAACUGUUUUGUAAAUGCAAGACCACCGACGCUGCCGCCGGUAGACUGACUACAUGAGAGUGAAACGCGACAUUUUAAGGCUUGCGUGUCACGGAUCAAUAUAAUUUUCUGUAGUUUGGAUCAUUACGAGAGGACGUGAAUUCCAGGUACUUGGAGAUAGAGAGUUAACAACACUAUGGAACAGCAAUAUUCAUAUGUGAAGCAAUUUGCAAAUGAGAUAAAAAGAAAUGUUGCGACAGGUUCGAAACAAGUAUUAAAAAUGAGCUAACUUGAAUUGAGUGUAACUCAUUAUGACUUCAUUCUGCACAGAUCAUUGAAAUAAUAAUGAUACUGUUUAGUUUUCAAUUAGAAGAUAGAUAAAUAGGAAGAAAUGUCAUCAAAUUUUUACUUCGUUCAGAAGUCAAAAUGAAAUGCAUCACUAAUUAUUUUAAAUAAUUGUAAAAUUAUAACAUAGAAUAACACGAUUGAAUAAUAAAUGACUCGAAGGAUGUAGCAGGCAGCAGGGCUAAUACAGAAAAUCGUCAGGCAACGGAGCCGGAGCGAUCGACCCUAUGUUUCGAGCGACCUGGUAUUCCUCGUGGCCGAAUCGUUGUGAGUCAUAGCGAUCACUCGGCGGAUUCGCAGAUCAUAUAUUUAUCGCGGCUGUACGAAAAGCCCGCCGAGAUGUUUCUUUUCAGGGACAAAUCAAUGGGGCUGGCGAGCCGGCGGUGGUCGUUUGAUGUCAAGAAAGAGCUCGACCCGCUCGGAUUCAGCUAUCUCGACGUCGUCGCCGACGGCGGCAUCCUACUGCGAUAACGCCAUUAUGCGAAUUCGCGAUUUGCAUAUUUCAGAAAGCGCUGCACAGGAAAGCAUAAACAACUCCGGCCGCUCCGCGCAACGAGAGCGCCGUGGCUUCCUCGUCAGAAGAGUUACACGCAUGGAAGAUUUACGGAGAAUCCAACGGUUUCCCUUUUCCCUUUCUUCUAUCCUUUUUCCACCUUCUUUCGAUUCGUCGUUUCUUCACUGUCUCACUUCUUCUCUUUUUCCUUUCUUUCUUUCUUUCUUUCUUUUUUUUUUUCUUUUUAGGGAACCUCCUCUCGCACUUUGUAUUCAAGCAUAAAUGCAUGGCGACGCGAAAUGGGAAUUGGCUGAAUACCUCCAGACGAUCAUCUCGGGGACGAAGGAGGAAAAAACCGGUCCAACAGUUUCACUAGACUGCAGCUCGCGGUUUUCGGACUGAAUCCCGCGACCAGAUAAUCCUUGGAUGACCAUCUCUCGGCACGAUGACUGAUGUGCCUUUCAAAAUAGACGGAAAAUUUGUAUAUAAACGAUUUUGUUAUUCAGCACGGCAUCCCAUACUUCAACGACUUCAGUGUCUGGAGUGUAUGGAGAAUACAGAAUGUUUUCUCUUUUCGUACCUUUCAAACAGCGCUGACAACUGAAUAAAACGGCACGAGACAACGAACAGACAAGGAUCGACCGCUGUAGAUUGCAUUUUCCACGCAUUUUAAUGCGAAUGGUCUCUUAUCGGGACAGCGUAAAAUAUUUCAGCGCCAGUUUCGCCACGAUAAGUGAAACCCCGCGUGCUCGCUUACAUAAGUAAUAUAAUUGAUUCGUUACAAGCGCUCCUACACGACAGAUAAGUUUAUCUGCGACGCGCAUCGACGAAACCGGUUAGAUAACGAGCACGACUACAUCAUAUAAUAAGCUUUAAUUAUUCAGAUAAUGAGGCGUGCCGUCCUCUUCUAAUGACAAAUAGCGUCGCCUCAGCCAUAAGCCACUGCACGCCGCCACCGCGAAACCACUACGUCGAAACUUCCGGAGGAAAAGUGACACUAGCUUCCGGCGUCUUCCUCGACCCUACCGUCUUACGGUCCUUUUAAUUUGCUACUGUUUGUUUCACUUGUGAUUUCAAUCUGCUGUUUGUUUGCGCAUCAAUCAAGACAUGAGAAAAUAUCCUAGAGCAAUGUGAUUUAUAGGCUGAAAGUCAAAGUUGCGUGUGUCAAGAUUUUCAGAAUGCGGAUAUAAUUAUGUAUUUCUUGAAGUUGUUAACCGAGGAAUCCCGAACAACCUGUUAAACCGAUCGGACAAAACCUGAAAUACAUUUUGAUCUUGAACGGAAGAAAACCUUGGGUACCAACUUCCACCUGGUGUUUUAACGAGCAACUAUUUUAAUAAACUUGUCACACCGGUGCACGGGCCAAGAUGGAGACCCUUUCCAGAUCUUGAAUUUCAAUUUUCACGCGACACUCCGUAAAGUAUCCAUGGACAAGAAGGAACGCGGCUGGAAGGGAUCGCUGGGAAAGAUCUUGAGAAACGAAAAAAACGCGUUUGCCAUCAAAUACCAGCGAUCAGGUGGAAAGAAAAGGAGGCUGGAUGAUGUACCGGUAGAUCCACGUUCCACGCUGGAUAUUUACGUGUAUCCCGAUGGCUGAACUCCUGUCGAACAUCGGGUUUUACAGCGUCGAGCAACGGCGUAUCGUGGACCAUCAUCGAGGUCUAAGGAUCCGGCGACUGGUUACACGCAAGUAGAUGGAUGAAGGUGGCUGGAACAAGGUGGCGGCUGAUGGGUGUAAAUUCAAGAUACCAUCGUCUCCCUUCUGUGUCUCUUGCCAAGCGGAUUUACCGACUGCUGCGUAUUCUGUCUGUUUUACUCGGUUUUUAAUUAUACCCGGGAUCUCUAAGACAGGGGCAUCGCCGCCGUCGUCAGCCAGGUAAACGUUGUUCUAUCUUAUGGUUAACCUUGAAGAACUUUCUUCGACCGACGAAGAGAAUCGGUAAAAUCUGACAACCCCUUUGAAGCUGGGAUGUGACGUAUCGGCGGUGGAAAAUUGAAGAAUCCUGGGAAUGAAUCGAUUGAAUAUGCAAAUGGCUUUUGGAACUAUCUGGAGGAAGUUCAAAAAUAGAAAAUCGUGGGAGAUAAUUCUUGAAAGAAUUAACAGUCGUGUUUUAAGAAAUACACGAUAAUAUUCGACGAAGAAUUUUAAAAGAUAUAUUGAUUAUGGAACAUGGAAAUGAUUUAUAGAUUCGGUGAUUGAAACACUGAUAUUUAAUUGCUGUAUGUACUUAGUUUUGAGAAAAUUGUUUAUAAUGUAGAUUCUACCAGGAAGGAAAAUGGCUAAGAAUUAAUAAUUAUACCUUAAGAUAUGAUCUGAUACGAUCUGGGAUGAAGAAUUUUGGAAGAGAUACAGAUUGCGAAAUGUGAAGAUGAUUUAUCGACUCGAAACAACCGAUAUAAAUUUAGUUGUUAGAUUAGGUAUUUGGUUUACGAUUUAAAUUCCAUCAUGAAGUUGGCGAAUGGUCUUCAUAGAGUUCUGCUAGACCGCUAAUAAAAGAUGUCCUCUCGAGGAAGAUGCUGGUCGCAUUAUCAUUUUAAUUGCUUCGUUUUGUGUUAAACCUUUUUGCCAGAUUCUUAUCUCCGCGUCAGGACAAAUUAGCACCCCGACUGUGUGUUCGGUUGAAACCUGUUCGCUGGAAUCUGCAAAUUACCUUUUCUGCCGCCUCGAUAUAAAGGACGCCGGACAUUCAGAAUGGCGCGAGCGCACCUUUUACGCCAGCGAUCUUGCGCCGAGUGUUGCAAGUACAAAUGAGCGAAUUUACGUCCCAACGAGCUACGACUUUCGCUCUCGAUGAAUGUUAAGGAAGAGUAGCAUUGGGUUUUGCAAUCAGGCGCGUGAAUUGAACGCUACUAGACUUGUGCAGGUUAUUAUUAUUAGCAAAGAAGAGAACUCUUGCCUACAAGAGAAUGAUCAUAAUUUUGCCAUUAACAGUAAAAAGUAUUGACUUUUUUUGUUGUUCCUGGAGCAGAAAACGGGACUGAUGUGAUAAAUGGCGGGGAUAAAUCUUGUCAGAGCGAUGAUCUCGACCUAGAGGGGUAUACGAAAAACACAAAGCGCCGCUAUCCGCACCAUCAGUGUCCGAUACCAGGCUCAGGUGACGCACUUUCCAAAGAGGCACCCAUGCUGCUACUACCUUUAUUAAAGCGAAGACAGGACUCUGGAGUCAAGACACAAAGCCGACCGAUGACAGAAAAUAUUUGCAGCCUCAUCUUGCCUAGACUGGGCGUUUUCCUGGUCAUCUUCAACGGCGCCAGUUUCUCCGUUGCAUGAUUAUUACGACCGUCGCUUGUUCUUUCCUUAAUUAUUACAGGUAUCUUUCUGUUACUCUUAGAGUUUGUAAAUACGAAACCUUUUGAGGAAAGUUUGCACAGCAAAUGUUUUGAAUCAUCGUUCAAAAGAAACGGCAUACGAAUAAAAGUUUAUUUAAAAAAACAUCAUUUGAUAUCCAUCAGUUUAAUAUGCAUAUAAUUGCAUUUGUAUUAAAGCAAGGUCCACUUCAAAAGAAAAAAAAAUUAAGAUCCGUAUUACAAUAACAGUUUUAUGACAACGGGACUUGAUUCAGUGAAGAGAGAUUUAGGAUCAUUCAUCGUAAGUCUAGUUUACUGGGAUUACAAUGAAAAAUGUUUCUAUGCAACGCUGGAGGGAGUCCAUUCACCAGGCAUUAGGAAAAUCCUUUGAGGAAUAAUGAAAUUGAAGAUUAGGAUCUCCGUAGUAAUUCAAAGGACUAUUGAAUUAUGCAGGAGGAAGCAUUUGUGGGCGGCAAAUUAACCGCGUUCCUCUGGAGUGGGAGGACGAUAACUCACGAUCCAAGUGGAUUAACGUCUUCAGGAUACGGUUGGAACACGGUGUUGUCCCGUCGGUAAAUUCAAUCGGACAUAUCCGGCUUCGAUUGAUCCCUCGAUAUGAGGUGGAUCAUCCAAGCUACAGGAGACACGCGUGCCAACGAUAAUGAACGCGAGAACCUGGGUAAAGGAAAACCGGUGGAAUCAUUCGUUUGACCGGUCCCUCAUCGUUCGUUCUUUCGUUGCCGUUGUCAAUCGUUGAAACGAAUUUUCGAUGGCGGACGCAAAGAGGACCGGUGCUGGGACCCCCGCUGGGGUAUCGGUUACGCUUAAACCGCGUUUAGGGCCCUCGAAAGCCAGCUUUUCAGAGACCCGACAGCAGUCUGUAUUGUCGUAGUGAUGGACUGAAGAGACCAUGAAUCGCCCGACUGCAAAGAAAGGAAGCAAAGAACGUGAAAGUAACAACUUUAUAAAGAUACUUUUGUUAUUGCGAAACGUACAAGAAAUUUUAAAAGGAUAAAUCAUAAAUUGUACUGUUUUAUAUAGAAAAGAAAGGAUCUGAGAAUGAAAUUACAUUUGGAUCAAGUUGGCACUGUAAAAAGUUGUAAAAAACGAUAAAAGGAAUAUAAUGUCACAAAGAUUACUUUAUCACUGGUAUUAGCAAAUAAUCAGGAGGCAAGUAAUCCAGCCAAGGCGCAAUUAAACCGCACAAAAGUUCGCGAGGUCAAAAAAUAGAAGAACGGAGUGGUGGCCAUCGCUACUUGCGUGGCCCCGUGGCCGUAGCGAAGGGCCCGGGAGACGGUGGCGCCAAGGAGAUCCGUAUCUUGGCGCGGGGCACUGAGAAAGGGCCUCCGGCUUCCCCCCCACUAGCGGCAGCCCUCGUCAAAGAUAACAUCUGAUUCCGAAUCGACCGUUCGCUCGUGUAGGCUUCCAUGUAGCCCGACUCGUUUUCUCGGGCCCUGGUACGAAUGUCAUCGUGUUCGCUUCUUACAAGCGGAACGGGGCCCCGAAAGCGGGCCCCAACUCCUCUGCCUCACUGCCCGUCUAGCCCCACUACUACGUCGGGUGCCUUCGUCAGCACCGAAUUAACGACCGUACAGGCCCGCGGCAGCAUGCUACGGGAACAAGAUCGAGAUUAAUUGCGAGCCAUGAAUCGAAAGAAAAGCCACCGAUCGACUGGUCUCGUAUUCAAGAGCGACUGUCUCUUCGACUUUCGUUAAUUUAUUAGUUAAUUUGGAAACGCUCGACAUGCUUCAUGAAAGGAUUUGAUGAAAAGCCAGUCAAGGUAUAUGAUGACAGCUUGGUAUUUUUUGGAUAAUUUGGGUAGGGGAACAUUUUUGUAUGCUGUGUGUAAUUAUAUAAAAUAUAUAUAAUUAUAUUUUCUUAGGUACUCUAUUAUAGGCUAUUCUCUUAUAGAGUGGCUAUUAUUAUAUAAUUGGUGCCAUAGUAUUUUUGCUAGUUCUAGUGUUAAUGAUAAUUCCAUUGAUGUGAAUUACUUGAUAAAAUAGAUACAUUUGAUAAUAUUAGUGACAAUGAUGUUACCUAUUAUAUUAAAGAGAGUGAAUUAAUUUUACAUUUGAGCCAUAACCUGAUCUCAAUUAUCAUUAUUAUCAUCGUGUUUUGGAAUCACAAUCAGUGUGCCAUUUGUCGAAGGUGAAACGUUCGACCGGGGGCCGAAAAAAGCUUCGUAGGCGCGGUCGACAAAAAGCGAGCGCCGCCCGAAAAAAUCAAGCAUUUGUAUUCCGCGGAGAUUUUUCAACGGCGGCCGGACAGUUUUCUCAUUUCGUUUAUGGCCAGCCGUAACAUAACUCCAGGACCUACUACUGCUGCUCGACAAACACACAGAAAUUUCGACCACGGGAUCAGACCACGACUUCGCGUAGGUGGAAUGGAGUAGCAUCCUGGCAUCGUUUUGCCAUCCAAGAAGACAUCGUCGGCCAGUUUUACUUGCUAGAUUCUCUAGGUAACUGCUAAAUUCAAAGUGACUAUGUUAAAUAACUGUAAUUCACUUGAACAAAUUUUUUAAUAUCAAUCCAAUUUAAAAAGAAUUUUAAUAUCUGUUUAAUAACUGUUGUUGUUAUAUUCGAAUAUUUGUUCUUAAAGUACGUAGUUGAUUCAAUUAUGUGCUUCUUCUUUUUUUUCUUAUUUACUGAAGUUUUCAAUUAAUAUCGAUCCAAGAAUAUUUUUCUUUUUUUUCAAAUACAAAGAAUUAAUGUAUACUUAUAUCUGAUCCAAUAAUUUAAUUACGUAUAUUUUUCGCGCGUUCGCAAUAACGCCAUCUGUGGUAGCGUCAUAUGAAACAAUAUUUGUAACUGUCGCUCGUCGUAAUGGUGCGUUCCUCGUAAAAAUUGUGUUUCACGGAGCAACUAUCAUUAGUGACUCCUGUUCUAACCAAACAAUUUGACGAUUUACAAACUUCAACUUUCUUUUGAUACCUGCAAUGCAGCAUUUACAAAAAUAGUAUUCAGUGCUUCCCAGUGUCCUUGAAGAUUUCGUACGCAAGAAUGUGCAAUACUUCAAUAAUAUUAACAUUUCUACCUUAUUCUCCAACAUCUGUGGUUGAAUAUUCUGAUAUAAAUAUAUCUUCCAGUAUUUUCUACACUUAUCAUCCAAAGAACCUAUAAACAUCUCAACAACGCCAGUCCUUCCAUUUCACCUUUAAAUAUUCACAACUCAGCAC